AUAAUAAUAAUAAUAAUAAUAAUAAUAAUAAUAAUAAUAAUAAUAAUAAUAAUAAUAAUAAUAAUAAUAAUAAUAAUAAUAAUAAUAAUAAUAAUAAUAAUAAUAAUAAUAAAGUUGACGGACUCCUUUCCUACACGAAACGGACUCCUUUCCAACUCGGCCGGACUCCUUUCCAACGCUCGGACUCCUUUCCAACACGAUCGGACUCCUUUCCAACACGAUCGGACUCCUUUCCAACAUGAUCGGACUCCUUUCCAACGCAAACGGACUCCUUUCCUACCCAAUCUAAAAAUCGGCUGUCCGUAAAAUUUGCCGGUUAAAGUUUACAAAUUCAGAGGCGAGGAAGGAGACGAAGGAAGAAAUAAUACACGUUUUUUUACUUUAUUUAGAAUGUAAGAGUGGUUAAGGGGAGAAAAUGGUUACUUUAUUUCAAAGCAAAGACUUGUUGCUUGGGGAUAAACGCUGAACUUUAUUACCUAGACACAGAGUGCUUGUACUACAGACAUGUGAUGAUCAUCAAAUAAACAAAGUACAACACAUUUCUCACAGAAUGAAAGUCAGUAUAGAUACAUUGCAAAAUCUACACUCAGCUCAAGUGAUGGGUGAUGUUUUGUUGUUUUUUUCUCACUUUUUAAAGAGCGUUAUUUAUUUUUCUUUAAGUCAAAUUUCCUGGGAACCAGAUUGCACAUUUUCUAAAAAAUUUGGAGUAAUCGAGCACAAGUAAAUAUUAAAAAAUAAAAAAAUAACAAGAGCUAUAGUCAGCUAGCUGAGUUUGGAAAAGGAAGUUUGUCGUGUUGAUAUACUGUAUUGAUAUAAUCUAUAAUGCUCUGUUUCUCCACCUCCUGCAAGAGACAGUCAGAUGGGCAAUAAUAUUUUUUCAAACUAAGCAGUCUUAUAUUUAUCAAAUAAUUUGUAUAUAUAUAUAUGUAUAUUUUUAUAUUGAGGAUUUUCCAAGACCAUAUUUUAAAUUUUGCUUCUAUUAUUCAAAUUUUUGUACUGUUACCGUUAGUAAUAAAAUAAACAUGGCAAGGAGUAAAACAAAUCGUUUUUUGAAUCAUUUUGAAGCAUAAAAUUAUUCAGGAAAGUUUUAUUGCUCAUGUCCCACCCAAAAUUUUAUGAAUCUAACUUCAAAAAAUUGCUAGGUGUAUGCUUAGUGUACUCCAUCAUCAUUUAAUAUACUUUGUGUUGUGUUUCCAGCUGCUUUUAUAAAUUCAGUAUAGAUGAUACUCUGUAAAACACUUGACACAUGUUGUCAGAAUAGUGCAACUUCAUGAGUAAAUGCUCAUUAACUUUUGAAAAAUGUUGAGUGGCAAAAGUGGCAAACCUCUGAUUUUAAGUUAAGCAAGAAAUGAGUAUUAUGAGUAUUGAAUGUAAUUGUAUAUAAUAAAAUAUCACAAAAGAACUAAAUUAAUUUAUUGUA